rnacentral:rRNA from 1 species
AGAGUUUGAUCAUGGCUCAGGAUGAACGCUAGCUACAGGCUUAACACAUGCAAGUCGAGGGGAAACGACAUCGAAAGCUUGCUUUUGAUGGGCGUCGACCGGCGCACGGGUGAGUAACGCGUAUCCAACCUGCCCACCACUUGGGGAUAACCUUGCGAAAGUAAGACUAAUACCCAAUGACGUCUCUAGAAGACAUCUGAAGGAGAUUAAAGAUUUAUCGGUGAUGGAUGGGGAUGCGUCUGAUUAGCUUGUUGGCGGGGUAACGGCCACCAAGGCGACGAUCAGUAGGGGUUCUGAGAGGACGUCCCCACAGUUGGACUGAGACACGGUCCAAACUCCGUACGGGAGCA